rnacentral:rRNA from 1 species
UGUUGCAGUUAAAAAGCUCGUAGUUGAACCUUGGGUCUGGCUGGCCGGUCCGCCUCACCGCGAGUACUGGUCCGGCUGGACCUUUCCUUCUGGGAAACCUCAUGGCCUUCACUGGCUGUGGGGGGAACCAGGACUUUUACUGUGAAAAAAUUAGAGUGUUCAAAGCAGGCCUUUGCUCGAAUACAUUAGCAUGGAAUAAUAGAAUAGGACGUGCGGUUCUAUUUUGUUGGUUUCUAGGACCGCCGUAAUGAUUAAUAGGGAUAGUCGGGGGCGUCAGUAUUCAGCUGUCAGAGGUGAAAUUCUUGGAUUUGCUGAAGACUAACUACU